GCUGCUGUGUCCGAGUGGUUAAGGAGAUGGACUUGAAAUCCAUUGGGUUCUACCCGCACAGGUUCGAAUCCUGUCGGCAGCG
rfam:Megaselia scalaris, Durham, NC isolate 2 -- Noor lab, WGS project CAQQ02000000 data, contig: ctg0000192518